AUUGAACGCUGGCGGCAGGCCUAACACAUGCAAGUCGAGCGGUAGCACAGAGAGCUUGCUCUCGGGUGACGAGCGGCGGACGGGUGAGUAAUGUCUGGGAAACUGCCUGAUGGAGGGAGAUAACUACUGGAAACGGUAGCUAAUACCGCAUAACGUCGCAAGACCAAAGUGGGGGACCUUCGGGCCUCAUGCCAUCAGAUGUGCCCAGAUGGGAUUAGCUGGUAGGUGGGGUAACGGCUCACCUAGGCGACGAUCCCUAGCUGGUCUGAGAGGAUGACCAGCCACACUGGAACUGAGACACGGUCCAGACUCCUACGGGAGGCAGCAGUGGGGAAUAUUGCACAAUGGGCGCAAGCCUGAUGCAGCCAUGCCGCGUGUGUGAAGAAGGCCUUCGGGUUGUAAAGCACUUUCAGCGGGGAGGAAGGCGGUGAGGUUAAUAACCUCACUGAUUGACGUUACCCGCAGAAGAAGCACCGGCUAACUCCGUGCCAGCCGCCGCCGUAAUAC
rnacentral:rRNA from 1 species